UUUGAUCUUUAGCUUGCCUUUAAAAGGCAAGCUAAAGAUCAAAUGGAGUUAAAAGCUACUCAAGUCCUCAUGGCCUUUUAUGAAGUGGGCUACACGUUUGCUACAAUGGGUGAUAUAAAUAAAAAAAUCAUUCUAAGUUCAGAUUAUUAUCUGCAAUUGAUAAUAUAAAGGAGGAAUCGCGAGUAAUCGAAAAUCAGACAAGUUUCGGUGAAGUUAUAACGUCUCUAAUCUUUUAAUAAAAAAAGAUUUAGCAUUCGUUUUGAUUAGUUGAUCUCGUACUCAUCGCUCGUCAAAUGCUUAAAAAGAGUCGUUCGUCAAAUUAAAAUAUUGUUCCAAAAAAAGACAUAAAAUUUUAUAUAACGAAAUGCUUUUAAUAGGUGUUAAGUCGAAACAAAGUUGGUCUAGGGGAACCUGGU
rnacentral:rRNA from 1 species